AGAGUUUGAUCAUGGCUCAGAUUGAACGCUGGCGGCAGGCCUAACACAUGCAAGUCGAGCGGUAGAGAGAAGCUUGCUUCUCUUGAGAGCGGCGAACGGGUGAGUAAUGCCUAGGAAUCUGCCUGGUAGUGGGGGAUAACGUUCGGAAACGGACGCUAAUACCGCAUACGUCCUACGGGAGAAAGCAGGGGACCUUCGGGCCUUGCGCUAUCAGAUGAGCCUAGGUCGGAUUAGCUAGUUGGUGAGGUAAUGGCUCACCAAGGCGACGAUCCGUAACUGGUCUGAGAGGAUGAUCAGUCACACUGGAACUGAGACACGGUCCAGACUCCUACGGGAGGCAGCAGUGGGGAAUAUUGGACAAUGGGCGAAAGCCUGAUCCAGCCAUGCCGCGUGUGUGAAGAAGGUCUUCGGAUUGUAAAGCACUUUAAGUUGGGAGGAAGGGUUGUAGAUUAAUACUCUGCAAUUUUGACGUUACCGACAGAGUAAGCACCGGCUAACUCUGUGCCAGCAGCCGCGGUAAUACAGAGGGUGCAAGCGUUAAUCGGAAUUACUGGGCGUAAAGCGCGCGUAGGUGGUUUGUUAAGUUGGAUGUGAAAUCCCCGGGCUCAACCUGGGAACUGCAUUCAAAACUGACUGACUAGAGUAUGGUAGAGGGUGGUGGAAUUUCCUGUGUAGCGGUGAAAUGCGUAGAUAUAGGAAGGAACACCAGUGGCGAAGGCGACCACCUGGACUAAUACUGACACUGAGGUGCGAAAGCGUGGGGAGCAAGCAGGAUUAGAUACCCUGGUAGUCC
rnacentral:rRNA from 1 species